AUCUAUGGCCAUACCACCCUGAAUGCGCCCGAUCUCGCCUGAUCUCGGAAGCUAAGCAGAGUCGGGCCUGGUUAAUACUUGGAUGGGAGACCGCCUGGGAAUACCGGGUGCUGUAGGCU
ensembl:rRNA 5S_rRNA 5S ribosomal RNA